CAACAGAUUUGGUACAACAAACAUGAUAAGCAAACGCAAAACAAAGUUACAAUAAGAGGUUUCAGAAGUUUCUUCAGCCCUUUCCAAGUCAUAAUUGUGCUUACCUUUACAGAAGUAUAUUGGGCAAUGGCCACUCUACAUAGAAUGAUUAUGAUCAUCAGUCAAGACACCUCAUGUUGUCGUUCAAAUAAUCUAAAGGGCAAUGGACCUAAAUAUUAGAUCACCCAACAAUGCGUAAACUGGGUUUGAAAGGAGCCCAAUCAAGUAGGAACUCUGACGCACUAAUUCUGACAGCCUACUAAUAGAUCAGGAAUUAGAGAUAGAAAAAUGGAAAUCAGUUCCAGAACUAAUUUUCUUUCCCCCCUAUUGCUUCCUAAAUGAUGAGAUUACAAUUAUGUUACAAAUUUUAGCAAAACCGGAUCAGCGAAUGACUGAUCCCUUACUUGCUCCAAUGUCUGAGUUUUCUGUUUGUUGAAUAACAAAGUGGUCAACUAUUUUAACAGUAUUUAGUGGGUCCUGCUGAGAUGUAACUGCACGCCAUUUGCUAGGAAACCGUCGAUGGUGACUCAUCUGCUGUGGCUGCUUUGGCUCCGCAUCCCAUUGAGAAUCCAGUUUCCAUUCCUUUGGGAUCUUAUCAACUGCAAGGGUGAAAACUUCAAGAUUGCCAUCCUUAUUGAUGUGGAAUCGAGUGAAGGCCUUGUAAUUAGCAAUUCGGAGUGAGGAGAAUGCUUCAUCAAAGUGUAUGUGAAACCAGUUAAUGCAGAUGUACAAGUAACUUCCAAAAACCAAAGAAACAACGGGUGUUGAAAAGACCCAAAAGUAGAGGAAGACAGACGCAUAAUAGAUGACAGCACCCCCUCUUGACAGUGACUCAGUCCCAUUCUUGCAAAUAUUACUCCUUGUGACAGCCAUGACCUCAGGAACAUCAAAUGCAGACAUGAGAUAUUUGAUGCAAGCUGGAUAAAGGCCAAAUGUCCAUUGUUCUAUACGAGAUCGAAGACCUGUAGGGUCUGGAAAGUGCUCACUUUCCACUGAUCGGUACCACUGAUAUAAAGUGUGAUAACCUGAAGUUGCUAGUAGGUUAUGUCUGAUACACGUCUCAACACCCAGUUCCAAAAGCAACAUAAGAAUUAGAGCUGCUGCAAGGUGUGAAGAAACAUGAAGAAUCCCAAUAAUUGCCUGUUUCUUCCGAGACACUUUGGGUGGGACAAAUGCAAUUGCCACAAUUAGCAAUACCACAAGACCGGCCAAUGAUACAUAAGAGUGCUCCAACACAUACAUAAAAGCAUUCCACACUGUGCCAAAGAAACUCCACAAGUGGCCAGAAAAUGUAUCAUGUUGCAAAAUGUGGUCGAGCUUACACUGUGGGAACGUAGAAAAGCUCAACACAAAGUAUAUAAUGCCACCAAUGAAAUCAAAUUGCCAGUUCUUCUUUCGGAACUUCAAAAUAUUUCCCAGUGCAAUCUGCAACAUAAUAACAAGGAGCCAUAACACUACGAAAUUGAAGGAUAUAAAGUAACAAUAAGAAAUUGAAGGAUAUAAAGAUAUUACAAAGAAAGUUCAAAACAAAUCCAAAAACUACCCUGCUUGAAUCUUCUAAUGAAGGAUAGGCAGCCUUGGUCUCAUAGUUAGUUCCGUACAAUUCUUUGAAAUUACUGAAGACAUGGGUAGGAUGUAAAAAUGCUCCACCACAACCAUUUACAAGUAAAUGUUGCACAUGAACAGGCCUAUCUGAUGGAACAUAUGAAUGACGCAUAUAAUGAUGCAAAUCCCCAGCUAUUUGAAGCUUGCACCUUCCUUUCAAAUAAUCACAUAUCAGGUGCGAGACAUUCUUUCCAGAAACACUAUUCCAGUACCAAUCGAGCAGCCAAUUUGGUUCAUGUGUCAUAAUGAUCACUGAGUCAUUAUCUCCAACCUUCUCCUUUAUUAGUUCUGAAAAGAAUUUGAACUGGUACACAUCAAUAUCAUUAUGGAGUGCUAGAUCAAGACCAAAAACCCACCAUCUUUUAGGGAGUUGCAACGCAAAAUAGCUCUUCUUCUGGGGCAUAAACCACCCGCCUAACCAGCUCUUGUGACAUAUGUAUCUCAUGAAAGUAUGAAGUCCAUCAAACCAAUCAUGGUUUCCAGGGAUGACAAAACACUGAGGUCCAUCAUACUGCUUCAGUUCAGACACCCCAACAGGCAGCUCAGGCUUGUUUACAGAUACAUGCUCUGGUUUAUACCACGACGGAGGCUGUAGAGCAUAUUCAAAAGGGCAAAAGAGGCGCUUCUCAUAUGUGAAUGCUGAUGGAUUAGGAUACCUUUAAAUUGGGAGCCUAGUUUGUGGGACUGUUGCUACUGAAGUUCAAUUCUACUACAAUCCAAUUCAAUUCCCAAGAGCUGGCCAGAAAUUAUCCUUGCUUUAAUGGCAAGAUCCCCUCCUAUAAGAAGUAAGUUGCCACGCGGUAGGGAAAGCACAGAAUCACCUCUAGUAAGCUGAAUGGAAGGCUUUGCAAGUAGUCGUGCGACAGUAUAUGAUGAGUUCCCACCAUCACCAGUAUCAGCCAUGAAGUCAAACCACAGAUCUUCCUUCUCGCUGAAGUGAUCAUACAAAAGAUCUCCCUGUUGUUCUCCAUUUUCAACUUUAGUCAUUGCGGCCUGCAUCAUUCGCAUGUCAAAACGACCAACAAAUACAGUUACUGAUACCAAGAGGUCAAAGACAGUCUUGAAUAAGUCAGCAGAUGUUCCUGAAUACCAAGGAACCAUAUCCAAAAAAUCAGGCUUCAUCUGUUUUUUCUUCGACUUCUCAUACUCUUGAACUGACAAAGGGUGAGAAAGUGCCCACCCUGUCGACCUUUCGACAACAUAAUUGGCAAUGUAUAGACCAAUAAAAGUGGCCCAUAAUGAGUAUAUAGGAGAGAUUUCAUCAGAUGAACCUGCACAUCCACUUCCAUUACAACCUAACUCCCCAUAAAUAACCCACUUCGAUAGAAGUGGAUAAUCACUUGCGGACCCAACUGGAGCAAACCAAGAUGAACAGAACCUAUCUUUUAAUUCAUUCAUCCGGACGAGACUUGCCAGCCAUGUGUUUCUCUCCUCUUUCUUCCAUAAGGAAAACCAACCAGAAUUUCUUCUUGCUAACGGUCUAUCUCUCAAGAUAGCACGGUUACCACAGUGGCUAUAAAAUACACAGCAGGCUAUGCUGAGAACUGCACAGUUUUGGAGAAUGGUCAAGAUCUCUGGUCUCUUUCCAGCAACACGAGAAACAAGACCAACAUACCAUAAGCCAAGAAAAACAAUGUGGAAUACAAGAAGAAACAAAAUCGAAGAUACAUAUAUUGUCAAAAACAAGGACAAAUUCAUCCUCAAAUCAACUCCCAUUGACUGAAAACUAGGGAGAUGAUACAGAGCUGCAACUAAAAUCCAAGCUAUGUACCAUCGGCUGAAAUUUGAAUAGCUGGGUUUGAUAGUCUUCCCUAAAAAUGGUGAAGAAAAGAAAUAGAAGAAACCAAGUAGGCAGGCAUACAUAGACCACCACUUAACAUUCUUGUCCAACUUUUCCACGAGAGUAUGCAUGUUAUCUGAAGAGAUGAAAAAGAGGCAACCCACAACCACGGCAAUGAUAGCAUGACGUGAAUGCUCAUGCGGAUAAGGAUAUGUAUGUGUAAAAAUCGUCCUCACCCUCUCCAUUCUGAGGGUGUCUAAUAACCUAUCAGAACCCAUUGAGCAAUCUUGCACUAGUCCACUCUCACAAAAACAAAUUCAGACCUUUGGUAAAACAAAACCAGAACUCGUAAGCACCAAAAUACACCACAAAGACCGGCUCCAGGAUCCUGAGAGAGAUAUAGAGAGAGAUAGAACAGAGGCGAGAGGACAGAAAUGUGCAGAGACGGAAAGAGAGAGUGCAUGUGGAAGCCGAGCAAAUAAAAUGAAAAAGGAGGAGAUUGCUUAAACCGACUUGGCAUCUGAGAAUGUCUGACUCGUACAUAAGCAUGGCAUAUUCUCUUCAAUUCCCUUCUCCCCCUUCCCCCUCCCUGCCCAC
rnacentral:misc_RNA from 1 species